UGCACGCAUAACUGUAAGUUGCUUUGGAUAAAAGCAUUGGCUAAAUGGUUUUUA
rfam:Salmo salar isolate Sally breed double haploid chromosome ssa07, whole genome shotgun sequence.